UGACGGGGGCCCGCACAAGCGGUGGAGCAUGUGGUUUAAUUCGAUGCAACGCGAAGAACCUUACCUACUCUUGACAUCCAGAGAACUUUCCAGAGAUGGAUUGGUGCCUUCGGGAACUCUGAGACAGGUGCUGCAUGGCUGUCGUCAGCUCGUGUUGUGAAAUGUUGGGUUAAGUCCCGCAACGAGCGCAACCCUUAUCCUUGUUUGCCAGCGAGUAAUGUCGGGAACUCCAGGGAGACUGCCGGUGAUAAACCGGAGGAAGGUGGGG
rnacentral:rRNA from 1 species